CAGGAGGAAUUCCACCCGGCUCUGGGGCGUGCGUCCGACAAGCCCCUAGGGGGAGAAAGGAGAAGGGUGAAGGCCGGGCUAGUAGUCGCUGCCCGCUGGGCAGCAUCUGGAGGCCCGUGCGGGAUGCAGGCGAGGGGGAUGGAGCGGCGCCGCUGGAGGAAGUGAGUUCACCCCAGAGGGAAGGGGAGGAAGGAGCCUGGGCCGUGCGCUCAUGGGCACCAGGCCCAGUGGGUAGCACUUGGGCACUAAGGGAUUCUGAAGGCACAGAAUGCAGUGUCCCCCAUCCCUUAUUCUGGUUCUUAUCUGCUAUAACUAGGGGGGAGAAAUAGUUAUUUAGAUCAUCUAUGGCAGUGGCCUACCAAAAGGGGAAAUUUAAAGGAGAGCAAGAAACCAUGAAGAGAGAGCCGAAAACGCGAAAGUAAAGAGUUGCCCAACUUAUUUAAAAGCAUGCGUAAUUUUGCCCGGGAGUUUCCGCAGCGUACUCUAACUUUUCUCCGCCUGCUUCCUUGGACCCAAUUUUCUUGUUCUUAUUCUGGAAGGUUUUUUUGUUUGUUUGUUUGUUUGUUUUUUGUUUGUUUGUUUUUUAACUUGACUUUACUUUGCCUGGGAACUGCACGUUUGCAUACUCCUGCAGGCUCUCUACCCUUGGCAAUGGACAGAGAAUAGCAUCCGGGCGGGAGGCUUGGCUGGGAAAGAAAGCCCUGGCGUCACCCGCGGGUUCAGUCUAGGCACUCCCCUCAGAGUACCGCAGGAGCAGGCAGAGCCACUGGCCUAUACAACCUCUGGGCUGCUGGCUACUGGGGUGAUCUGGGCCAGCGUGAUCUUAUUGAAUUUACUAAUGACCAGAGAGAUUUCUUAAGCCAAGUCCCCAGAGAACGAAUCCAAAAUGAGUAAAACAGUUGCCACUCCAGGCUCUGGCCAAGGUUGCCUGUGUGCCACAUGGAACUCGGGGAAAGGAAAUGAUUAAAGCCGUGAGGUUUCCUGGCUCUUCGUGGUGUUUACGGUGGGUUUUGAUUUGGGAAGAGAGCAGGAGAGGUUAUGGCCGGUUGCCAUCUGCCAGCGUCCUCAAUCUGCCUGGGCUACAGAUGACAUAGGGGCGGGUGGGCACGUGCGCUCUGUGUGCACAUUCCGAGUGUGUGCAGGAGCGUGUCUCGGAGUGUCUUGUGUGGUGGCCUACCUGGCAAUACAUGCAUGGUUAAAAAGAAGAGAUCUUCCAGCUUCAAGAGGAGGGGUUUCAGGUUCUUUCAGACAUCUGAGGGGCUGCAUCUUUCUAAAGUGCACACGUUUCUUUUUCAAACACUAUUUAAAAAUUUUUGUAAUGUUUCCAGUCUUUGCAUACUGUAAAUGGACAGGAAUAGGACAGAAACCCCAUCAUUAAACACUUACAUUGAUUUAAAUCAAAUUCCACUAAGUGAAAAUGCUUGUUGAAAUUUGGAAAAUAUUUUUUAAUGUAAUAAUGACAUUUGGACAUUGCAACUAUAGACAAUAAUCAUCAAAUCUGAAAUUAAGAUAAAUUUAAUAAAAGUGAUUUUUAAAUGCAUUGGAAUGUUGUGGGAAUAGAGUUGGCGUAUGGUCUAUAGCUAUCUUAGGAUUUUAAUUUAAAUGACAGAAAGACAUACACCAACACAUAAAGUACUCAGCAACAUUAAUAAGGACAUGUGUUGUUGAUUUUUUUAAAAAAAAUAAUGCUGGUCAUAUGUUUAUAUUGCAAUGUACACUUUGGAGCAAUGUCUUUCUUCCUUUCUUUCUUUUUUAGAGCAGUGGUUUUUAAACCACGGGUUGUCAACUAUUUGUUCAUCUUGAAACCAAUACUGUGGGGGAGAAAUAGCUGGUGUCAGAAAGUUUGCAAAAGAUCCUGGUGUCUUAACAGCUGCUGGUAGAAUGGCUGAGGGCCAUAGUGAGUACUUCAGAGGCUUGGUGACUGAUGCGAGGGUGAAGACUCUUCCACUGCUUUUACAGCCCCUCUGCUCUGGUGCUGAGAAGCAGGUACUAUUCCCAUUGCUCAAACCCCAAGGCGCUGAUUAAAACACAUCUAACACUUUUCUAGGAGUUGCCCUUCUAGACUUGACCUUGGGAAUGGCAGCCAUCUCCCUGUUGAGAGCAUUCCAGAUGCUGAGGUUGCCUAGCUGAGCUAACACUCAACUUGGGUGUGGCCUCUGUGUCUCCCUCUUACCCUGCAAAUGUAUGAAGCAAAUGGCUUGAGAUUUCUGUACCAUUCUGUCAGUCAGGAGGAAAGGAGAGUCCCAUAUCUUGGUCAAGAGGAACCUGCCCACAAACUCCAUUUUAGGUUUCCUAGUGUUCUGACUUGAGGAAUAUGCGGAUUUUCCCCCUGCUACCAAUCUAGAAGGCACCACUGCUAAUAAUCUAGUGUUCCAGAAAUGCAUUUUCCCUUGUAGCAUAUGCUUUUAGGCUUUAGAAGGUGCCAGAAUCACCUAAAUGGCUGGGGACUGGUCAGUGGGCACAAUAGAUAAAGGAGUUUCCAUCUAGUCUAAUGAUCUCUUCCAUCUCUGUGAUUUACUUCAUGACGUGGCAGGCACACACCCUCCCCACAAACUAAAUAAGUGUUAUAAACAAAACAACAAAACAAAGACAAAAACAAAACCGCAGUCCUCAUUUCUGAUCCAGCAGGUCUGAGGCAGAGUUUAAGAACCUGAAUUUCUUAUAACUUCCCAAGUGAUGCGAAGGCUGGUCCAGGGAAUAGACUUUCAGAACCAUUGCCAUAUAUCCUCUUAAGAAGGUGUGAAAUGGAAGGUGAUUGACAGGGCAGGGUGAAAGUGUCCCUGAAUCCUUCCACACUCACCUCAUGCUAAAGCUAACAGCAAGUCUUGCAUACUGAAAAACUUCAGUGGAGGGGAGUGAUGGCUUACAGAGGGAUUUGGGUACAGUAGAAUUUUAUCACUUUAUACAUCUAAAGGAUCGUGCCAGGAAUAUAAAUCUUCACACAUCAUAAACUGUUCAUUUUUGUCUUGUGUUUAGUCUUGCAUAUUUUAAAGCCUAGGGGGAGAGUCAAAUCAAGAUAGUUCAAUGAAAACUUAACCAAUGGCAAUUCUUUUAUAUAAAGAUAAUGUUUACCACUGUGCUGCAAAGGGACAGAUAUACUCUGUAUUAAAUGGGAGCUGUGGGCUGAACUUGAAUGUCACUGACUCUGCCAAGAUGGUCCUGGCUCCCAAGGCCUGGCUCCUGUGGCUUCCUAGUGCUGGGCUCUGGCUG
rnacentral:lncRNA from 1 species